rnacentral:rRNA from 1 species
CCUACGGGUGGCAGCAGUGAGGAAUAUUGGUCAAUGGACGAGAGUCUGAACCAGCCAAGUAGCGUGAAGGAUGACUGCCCUAUGGGUUGUAAACUUCUUUUAUAUGGGAAUAAAACGUUCCACGUGUGGGAUUUUGUAUGUACCAUAUGAAUAAGGAUCGGCUAACUCCGUGCCAGCAGCCGCGGUAAUACGGAGGUUCCGAGCGUUAUCCGGAUUUAUUGGGUUUAAAGGGAGCGUAGGUGGAUUGUUAAGUCAGUUGUGAAAGUUUGCGGCUCAACCGUAAAAUUGCAGUUGAAACUGGCAGUCUUGAGUACAGUAGAGGUGGGCGGAAUUCGUGGUGUAGCGGUGAAAUGCUUAGAUAGCACGAAGAACUCCGAUUGCGAAGGCAGUUCACUGGACUGCAACUGACACUGAGGCUCGAAAGUGUGGGUAUCAAACAGGAUUAGAUACCCCUGUAGUC